CCUACGGGAGGCAGCAGUGAGGAAUAUUGGUCAAUGGCCGGAAGGCUGAACCAGCCAUGCCGCGUGAAGGUCAGUGCCCUAUGGGCGUUAAACUUCUUUUGUGCGGGAGCAAUAAUGGUCACGUGUGGCCAGACGAGAGUACCGUACGAAUAAGCAUAGGCUAAAGCCGUGCCAGCAGCCGCGGUAAUACGGGGGAUGCAAGCGUUAUCCGGAUUUAUUGGGUUUAAAGGGUGCGUGGGCGGGGAGGUAAGUCAGCGGGGAAAUGCCCCGGCUCAACGGGGUGAAGUGCCAUUGAUACUGGCUUGCUGGAAUGCGGAUGCGGUGGGAGGAAUGUGUGGUGUAGCGGUGAAAUGCAUAGAUAUCACACAGAACACCGAUUGCGAAGGCAUCUCACGAAUCCGCGAUUGACGCUGAUGCACGAAAGCGUGGGUAUCAAACAGGAUUAGAUACCCCUGUAGUC
rnacentral:rRNA from 1 species